GAGGCCCCGCCCCCUGAGCUCCAAUGCGAUUGGUCCCGGCGCCUCGUCCCCGUAACGCCCCUGGUGGAGGCCAUGCUCUGGAAUAGCAGGUUGGACCCGGCCGCUGUCACUCAGCCCCGGGGGUCCGAAAGCGCGUGUAAAGGCGAGGCUGGGGAAUUGGCCCACCUUGACCCUGAAGCCCCGCCCUGUGGCGGGUGGGAUUGGUGGAGCCCAGACCAACCGAGAAAGAUGGGUCCGCGUCUGAAACAAAGCACGCGAAGUGUUUUCCGAAGAACCGAGAAGGGGAAAAGCAGUUGGGGCAGCUUGUGUCCCGCUGCAAGGAGUAGGAGAGUCAGCUCUUCCCUUGCGCCCCACGCUACUCGUCGGGAUCUCCUGUUUGUCGCGCACGCCUCGGAACGGCUUUCUGCAGGAGCUGAGUCCUCGCUGAACUUCGACUGAGACUUCUCUUGCUGUUUCCUACAGCUAGAACCUGGAUAAAGAAUCGACGCAUCUUCAUUUACAGCAAACCCUCUGAUCCUUGUGGAUGACUGGCUUGCUGUUCUUGGAUGAGCUAAUUCAGAAGAAAAAAUGGCACUUCAACAGAAUUUGGCAGGAGGAGACAGAACCAGAACCAGAAGCAGAACAUAAGGGAAUGGAACAUUGGGCUGGAUGAUCUCAGAGAUGAGCUCAGCUCAUUCCCUCGUAUCCCAGCUUCGCUCCCGGACAAUGCAAAGUCAGUCUCUCACCUUGCUGCCACUGUGUGGCCCCUUUCCAAAGAUGGCCAGUCUCGAAGGAGAGGCUGGACAAAAAGACAGUAGUUGGAGUUCCCGUUGUGACUCAGCAGUAACAAACUCGACUAGUAUCCAUGAGGAUGCAGGUUCGAUCCAUGGCCUUGCUCUGUGGGUUAAGCAUCUGACAAUACCGUGAGCUGUGGUGUAGGCUGCAGACUUGGCUGGAAUCAGGCGUUGCUGUGGCUGUGGAAUAGGCCACCAGCUGUGGCUCCAGUUCGACCCCUAGCCUGGGAACUUCCAUAUGCCGAGGGUGCGGCCCUAAAAAGACAAAAAAAAAAAAAAAAAAAAAAAAGAAAAAGAAAAGAAAAGAAAGGGAAAACCCUUUUCUGAGCUGGCUGAGGCUGCAGGUGGCCCAGGCUGGACACUGCACAAAGGAGCACAGCUAAGGGGUAAGUGGGCUGAAAUCCCACUUAGAGCCUCCUCACCAAGCCCUGAAGCCUGGCACAAAGGUGUAUGUGCCCCCAGGAAGUGGGGGUACCCUAUCCUUCACACACUGGCACUGUCCACUCAAAAGGGUCAUCUUUUUUUAAUUUGCCCCAAAGUCUUGAAUAGACCACCCAGGUCUCUGCCUGUGAUUCAGUCAGACAGGGAGAGCAGUGGGGGAGGGGAGGCUUUCCUAAGGAGGCGACUAGACACAUGAAUAAUGAGUUGUAGAUAAACUAAGUGGGAGGGAAGAGAUUUCCACACACAGCCCCUGCAGUCAGUGGAGGGGAGGGAGGGGCAUGCCUGCAGCAUGUGGAAGUUCCCAGGGCAGGGAUGGAACCCAUGCCACAGCAGCAAUCCAAGUCACUGCAGUGACAAUACCAGAUCCUUAACCUGCGGCACCACAGAGAAUGCCGCAGCGACCUUGUGUUGAUGACUAUUGAGCCCCUGGUCCCAAUCAUUUCGGAAGUCUGGCAGAGGAUUGUUUUCACGGCAACACAUGACCUCUUUGAAAUUCACAUUCGGUUUCUGUCACUUGCUACUAGGAUAGUCCUGGCUCAGAGCAAAGCUGGUUCUGCUCUCCUCCUCCCAUGGCCAGUGGGCCUCCCCACUCCGCUGUCCCCAUCCUCCUGUGUAAGGAACUUCUAUGCUCUUGGAGUUCCCGCCGUGGCUCAGUGGUUAACGAAUCCAACUAGGAACAAUGACGUUGCAGGUUUGAUCCGUGGCCUUGCUCAGCAGGUUAAGGAUCCAGCGUUGCCGUGAGCUGUGGUGUAGGUUGCAGAUGUGGCUCAGAUCCCGCGUUGCUGUGGCUCUGGCCUGGGCCGGUGGCUACAGCUCCGAUUCGACCCCUAGCCUGGGAACCUCCAUAUGCCGAGGGAGCAGCCCAAGAAAUGGCAAAAAGACAAAAAUAAGAAGAAAAAAAAAGAAAAGGAACCUCUACUCUGCAUUGGCAGCCUCUCCUUCAGAGUGGGAGCCCUGUCUUGGUGGACCCAACCCUGUCUCCAACACAUAACAGAAACUCAGUAAACAUUUCAUCCAGCAAGAGUUGAUUAACUCUUUGCUGGUGAUCAUUGUGGCCACCAAGACUGAAAGAAGUGCUGAGAUAUUAGAGGACAGAGUGGCUUUUCUUACUUUUUUCAUUACCCACCAAGUUCAUCCAUGGUUUCUACUGACCCUGAGUGUAUGCAGUCUCCAGUUUAUACUUAUGUUAAUAGAUAGGUUUGAUUUGUUUAGCAUCUGGCUGUGGAUAGCCAGUGGGAUUUAUUUCAUAAGGAGGAGUCGGAAGUUUUUAUUUUGUCUCUGUGUGCUGAGUACCAGUGGGCCAUCUUCAAGCUGAGGCAUCUUCCAGAUCUGACAGUCUGCAGCUGAAUGUUCAAGAUGGUUUUUACUCUGUGGUUAAUAUCUGCCAGGACCCUAAAAUAUGAAAGUCCCCUACUACUCUUGUAUUACUGUUAGUUUCUCUGUUCAUGCCUCUUAAUAUUUGCUUUAUAUGUUUAGAUGCUCCUAUUAGGUGCAUGCAUGUUUAUGAAUAUUAUAUUCUCUUCUUAUACUGACCCCUUUAUCAAUAUGCAGUGCUGGUCUUUGUCUUUUGUUACAGACUUUGUUUUAAAAUCAGUUUAUCUGAUGUGAGUAUUGCUACCUCAGCUUUCUUUUAAUUUCUGUUUGCAUGGAUUAUCUUUCCAUCCACUUUCAGUCUCUCUGUGUCUUUAGCUCCAAAGUCCCUUGUUGGCAACAUAUAAAUGAGUCAUAUUGUUUUACCCAUUCAUCCACCUUAUGUCUUUUGAUUGGGGCAUUCAGUCCAUUUACAUUUAAAAUGAUUACUGAUAAGUAUGUGGUUAUUGCCAUUUUAUUAUUUGUUUUCUGAUUGUUUUCAUAGUUCUUUUCUGUUCUUCUUUUGAUUUCUUCCCUUGUGGUUUGAUGGUUUUCUUUAGCAUUAUGUUUAGCUUCCUUUUGUUCUUUUGUGUAUCCACUAUAGGUUUGGGGUUUAUGAUUACCAUGAGAUUAGAUAGGUAGGUAGGUAGGUAGGUAGGUAGGUAGAUAGAUAGUUUAAGCUGAUAGUUGUUUAAAACAUUCUAAAAGCUCUAUAUUUUUCACCCCUCCCCAUUUUAUGUUUUUGAUAUCAUAUUUUACAUAUUUUUGUUAUGUCUUUUGUUAUAGACUUUGUUUUAAAAUGAAUUUUAUCAGAUAUGAGUGUUGCUACCUCAGCUUUCUUUUAAUUUCUAUCUACAUGGAAUAUCUUUCCAUCCACUUUCAGUCUCUCUGUGUCUUUAGCUCUGAAGUUCCUUGUUGGCAACAUAUAAAUGAGUAUUAUUGUUUCAUAAGUUUUUUUAAGUUGAUACUAGUUUUUUAAGUUGUUGAUUCACUGCCUUUACUGUAAAUUUGCCUUUGCCAGUGAGAUUUUUUUUUCCUUCGUAUAUUUUCUAUUUAUUUAUUUUGCUUUUUAGGGCCACAGGUUCCCAGGCUAGGGGUUGUGUUGGAGCUAUAGCUGUCAAGCCUACACCACAGCCACAGCAA